rnacentral:lncRNA from 1 species
AUGUUUGGAGAUGGUGUUACCCUCCUAUGGGGAACCCUAGAGGAUGUCGUAUACCACACAAAACCCACUACACUACUGGUCCUUAGAGAAGAAAUUGAAGAUGCAUGUGCAGUAAUCUCAAGGACGAAGGUUACCCAAGCAGCAUUUGCCAUACUAAUAAAUGUCUGGAAGCCAAUGGCCACCACUUUGAGCACCUCUUGUAAUUGUAGAGGCCAAAGGUAAAUUGUAUUAAUUUUAUGAUGUCUCAAUAAAUUUCAUAUUAAAAUAUUUAUGCAAGUUUUCUUUUCCUGAAGUGUGUAUACAUUUCUGGCAGAGUAUAUACAUAUAUAUGUGUG